UGGCGGCGUGGUUAAGACAUGCAAGUCGAACGGGAUUUUCCGUUGUAGCAAUACGAUGGAAAGUCUAGUGGCGAACGGGUGCUUAACACGUGGGCAACCUGCCAUGAAGUGGGGGAUAGCUCGCCGAAAGGCGAAUUAAUACCGCAUGUGAUUAGAGAGGACAUCCUUUCGAAAUUAAAGUCGGGGCAACCUGACGCUUCUUGUGGGGCCCGCGGCCUAUCAGCUAGUUGGUGAGGUAACGGCUCACCAAGGCUUUGACGGGUAGCUGGUCUGAGGGGACGACCAGCCACACUGGGACUGAGACACGGCCCAGACACCUACGGGUGGCAGCAGUCGAGAAUUUUUGACAAUGGGGGAAACCCUGAUCGAGCGACGCCGCGUGGAGGAUGAAGGUCUUCGGAUUGUAAACUCCUGUUAUUGGGGAACAAUGCACAGAUAUUAACUGUAUUUGUGUUGAUAGUACCCGAAGAGGAAGAGACGGCUAACUCUGUGCCAGCAGCCGCGGUAAUACAGAGGUCUCAAGCGUUGUUCGGAUUCAUUGGGCGUAAAGGGUGCGUAGGCGGCGCGGUAAGUCGGGUGUGAAAUCUCGGAGCUUAACUCCGAAACUGCAUUCGAUACUGCCGUGCUUGA
rnacentral:rRNA from 1 species